UCCGGUUUGUCACCGGCAGUCCCCCAUGAGUCCCCGGCGUUACCCGCUGGCAACAUGGGGCGGGGGUUGCGCUCGUUGCGGGACUUAACCCAACACCUCACGGCACGAGCUGACGACAGCCAUGCAGCACCUGUGCUAGCUCCCCGAAGGGUCCUUCACGUUUCUGAUCCGUACCACUAGCAUGUCAAGCCCUGGUAAGGUUUUUCGCGUUGCAUCGAAUUAAUCCACAUAAUCCACCGCUUGUGCGGGUCCCCGUCAAUUCCUUUGAGUUUUAACCUUGCGGCCGUACUCCCCAGGCGGUCAAUUUCACGCGUUAGCUUCGUUACCAAGGAAUUGCUUCCCCGACAACCAGUUGACAUAGUUUAGGGCGUGGACUAC
rnacentral:misc_RNA from 1 species